GUGGCCUUUUGGGCUACAGGGAGACUCUGAGAGACCGAGUUUCUUGAUCUGUGCAGGGUAUUAACGUGUAACAGCUGCCUGUUCCAGGGUUUCUCUGGAGGCUGGCCAGAGUCCUUGAGCAGUUGUCAUUUCUGUCUUGCUGGUCUGAUGGGACUGGGAAGGGCCGAGCCUUAGGACCCACUUUCCUUUCUCCCUUGAUGUUUUCCCACCAGAACACCAUGGGUUGUUACCUGCCUUGAGUUGGGAAACGGUUUGCAUUUACACCUGUAAAUUUAUUCAUUCUUUUAAUUUAUGUAAGGUUUUUGUACGCAAUUCUCAAUUCUUGAGAUGACAAAUUUUGGUUUUCUACUGUCAUGUGAGAACAUUGGGCCCCAGCAACGCGUCCUUGUGUGAGGAAAUAAAGUGCUGCAGUGAAC